AGGGCCUGAGAGUCAGGAGGCCCCAGCGGGGCGGGGCCGUGUGGAGGCUGGCGGCACAAGCCCUAUGGCCUGGACUCAAAACCCAGCUUCAGCGCCCCAGUGCUGGGUGAGCUGCAACGUGUCACUGCUAGUUCCCUCAAUCUCAGUGUCCUGGUGAAUGCAGCAGCGAUCACCAUUCUCUUACAGAGAGGUCAUGGUGAGGGGGAGGAUGGCGUCAGGCUGUAGGGCAUUGGCGGGGAGCCAGGACCCUCCGUGGUAGGGCCUCAGCGUCACCCCCAUUGUGGCCAAUACCACAGCAAAUAUUAGGGGAGGGUACGGCUCUGAGUACUUACCUGGAGAAACCUGUAGAGUCCCAGGAGCCUGGCCAUUGGCAUAGACAACGCCAAGCAUGUUUCUCCAAAGCAGCUCCGAGAGCGCUGGGCCCAGACGUGUAGCUGGGGAUGGGCUCCUCCUGCCCGGUGAGAAAGCUCAUGGUCUCAUGGAGUGCUGCGUGCACGAAGUCCCCCU
rnacentral:lncRNA from 10 species